rnacentral:lncRNA from 1 species
AAUUAGAUAAGCAAACCAACUUUAUUUUAAUUAAACUACCCCAAAUAAAUAUAAUUAUAAACAGAUAAAGGGACAAAAGGAAAGGGAGACGCUGAAGGACUUUAGGAUCAGUACUCGACUUUUCUUUAUUUCGGUCGGCUUCUCGUAGGGACAGACAAAACCAAGGUUUGUCAUUUAGACCGAGUCGAUGUCAUCAUAUCCAUAGGGCCUAGACUACCCCUACCCUACCACCGCAUGCUUAACGUCUCUACAAGGUGCCUAUCGUCCCCGCUUAAGGUCCAAGAGGCAUUGGACUACUAUUAGGGUGGGUAUAGACUAAAAAGAAAUAUAAUAGGCCCAUCUAGACACCAAGUCAAACAAUUUGGACGAGCAUUUAGCACAUAGAGUCUCAUGUUAGCCUCUAGAUUUUAUUAAACAUGCUAACAAACACAAGUAAUGUGAAAGGAAUCAUGCUAAGUGUGUGUGCAUACAAACAUGUAUUGACAACAUAAUUAUAACGAUUUAUUUUAUGAAUUUUAAAGGGGCGGAAAAUUGAUACAAGUGCAAAAGAUUUAAUGAUUUAAAAGAGUGGCAUAACAAUGAUUAGGAUGCGGGAAAUAGUUUAAGCAGUAGCAGAUUUAAAGUCUUUAGAUGAGCCAGUGGCAGAAUGUCAUUGAUUAAUAUGCAGAAACUGAUUUAAUUUAUUUUAAGUGGCAAAACAGUGCAGAGAUUAGUUUGAACAAAAUUUAAUCGGGAUAGCAAGUAGCAGAUGCAGAAAAAUGACUUUUUAGUAGCUGAUUUUCAGUACCUAAACAGAGCAGAAUCUAAUUGGUUUGAGCCAGAUUCAAUCUAGGCAGUAGAUAAUAAUUUUUAAAAUGAAACAGGAUUUCUCUCCUUUUAUUUAAUAAUAUGCUGAUUAACAUCUCAACUUGUUAAUUAU